CACGUAGGGGGCAAGCGUUGUUCGGAAUUACUGGGCGUAAAGGGCAUGUAGGCGGGAACGCAAGUUGGGGGUGAAAUCUACGGGCUCAACUCGUAAACUGCCCUCAAAACUGCGUUUCUUGAGUAUGGGAGAGGAGUCUGGAAUUUCCAGUGUAGGGGUGAAAUCUGUAGAUAUUGGGAAGAACAUCAGUGGCGAAGGCGAGACUCUGGCCUGAUACUGACGCUGAGACGCGAAAGCGUGGGGAGCAAACAGGAUUAGAUACCCUGGUAGUCCACGCCCUAAACGUUGUACACUAGAUGUCGGGGGUAUCGAUCCUCCCGGUGCCGAAGCUAACGCAUUAAGUGUACCGCCUGGGGAGUAUGCUCGCAAGGGUGAA
rnacentral:rRNA from 1 species